rnacentral:rRNA from 1 species
GGGUCUACCCAUUGGUCAGGCUUAAUUGUCUGUACUGGUGAGAUGGAUCUCUACCUUCCUGAUGAGCCGUAAUGCCAUUAAUUUGGUGUUGCGGGGAAUUUGGACUGUUACUUUGAAAAAAUUAGAGUGUUUAAAGCAAGCUAACGCUUGAAUACAUUAGCAUGGAAUAAUGAAAUAGGACGUUCGAUCCUAUUUUGUUGGUUUCUAGGAUUGACGUA